GACAGAGGGUGCAAACGUUGUUCGGAAUUACUGGGCGUAAAGCGCGUGUAGGUUGUUUUGAAAGUCGGAUGUGAAAGUUUUGGGCUCAACCCAGGAAGUGGCACUCGACUACUACAGAGCUCGAGUCCCGGAGAGGAAGGCGGAAUUCUCGGUGUGAGAGGUGAAAUUCGUAGAUAUCGAAGAGGAACACCUGUGGCGAAGGCGGC
rnacentral:rRNA from 1 species